rnacentral:lncRNA from 1 species
AGAGAGAGAGAGAGAGAGAGUGUGUGUGUCGCCAUGGACGAGCUGAAGCCCAGCCCUCCGAACUCAUCGCCGUUGACCCCGCUCGGCUUCCUCGAAAGAGCCGCCACCGUCUACGGCAACUGUCCCUCCGUCAUCUACAACGACACCACCUACACAUGGUCGCAGACCCACAGCCGGUGCCUCCGGGUGGCUUCGUCGCUCGCUUCCCGCGGCAUCGGCCGGGGCCACGUGGUCUCCGUCGUUGCCCCUAACGUGCCCGCCAUGUACGAACUCCACUUCGCCGUCCCCAUGUGCGGCGCCGUCCUCAACAACAUCAACACCCGCCUCGACGCCCGCACCGUCUCCGUCCUGCUCCACCACGGCGGUCCCAACCUCAUCUUCGUCGACCUCCAGUCUCGCGCCGUCGUCCUCGAGGCCCUCUCCAUGCUUCCCCGGAGCUCCGAACGCCCGUUCCUCGUCCUCAUCGCCGACGACGGUGCCGCCGACGAACUAGGCAAUCCGCCGACCUCGUCACCGGAAGACGCUGGUUUCUGGUGUACUUACGAGAGCCUGGUCGAGAGAGGCAAUCCCGAUUUCCAGUGGAUCCGACCAGCCAGCGAGUGGGACCCCAUGAUACUCAAUUACACGUCGGGGACGACAUCGUCGCCAAAGGGCGUGGUCCACUGCCACCGCGGAAUCUUCUCGAUCACCGUCGACUCGCUCGUGGAUUGGGCCGUCCCGAAACAGCCUGUCUACUUGUGGACCCUCCCGAUGUUCCACGCCAACGGGUGGAGCUUCCCUUGGGGGCUCGCUGCCGUGGGCGGCACCAGCAUCUGCCUCCGCAAGUUUGAUGCCACCACCAUCUACCAGGUCAUCCGGCGGCACGGCGUGACCCACAUGUGCGGCGCCCCCGUGGUGCUCAACAUGUUGUCCUCCGGCUCCGGCGCCGGUGCCGAGCCGCUCAAGCACCCGGUCAAGAUCCUGACUGCCGGCGCCCCACCGCCCGCGGCGGUGCUGUUUCGGACGGAGUCGCUUGGGUUCGAGGUCAGCCACGGGUACGGGCUCACCGAGACGGCGGGGCUCGUGGUGUCGUGCGCUUGGAAGCCGCAGUGGAACCGCCUGCCGGCAGGGGAGCGGGCGCGGCUCAAGGCAAGGCAGGGAGUCCGGACGGUGGCCAUGACGGAAGUGGAGGUCGUGGACCCGGAGUCGGGCGCCCCGGUGAGGCGGGACGGGUCGACGCUGGGGGAGAUCGUCCUCCGGGGUGGAUGCGUGAUGCUGGGUUACCUCAAGGACCCGGAGGGGACCGCCAAGUGCAUGCGGGGCGGGUGGUUCUACACGGGCGACGUCGGAGUGAUGCACCCGGAUGGGUACCUGGAGAUCAAGGACCGGUCCAAGGACGUGAUCAUCAGCGGCGGGGAGAACCUGAGCAGCGUGGAGGUGGAGUCGGUGCUGUAUGGGCACCCGGCCGUGCACGAGGCGGCCGUAGUGGCGAGGCCGGACGAGUUCUGGGGGGAGACCCCGUGCGCGUUCGUGAGCAUCAAGGCCAACCGGGGCGGGCAGCCGCCGACCGAGAAGGAGAUCGUGGAGUAUUGCCGGAGCAAGAUGCCGCACUACAUGGUGCCCAAGACGGUGGUGUUCAAGGAGGAGCUGCCCAAGACCUCGACGGGGAAGAUCCAGAAGUACCUGCUGAGGGAGACGGCGAAGCAGAUGGGGUCGCCCUCGUACAGAAUCAGUCGCAUGUGAAAGGGUCCACGAGCUUUUCGGGGGCGAAUCUCAUUCAAAGUUUCGGUAAGUCCAAUUAGGCUAGCUCGUAGGAGAUUAUUGGAUGAUCCAACUCCUUAAUAAGACGGACAUCCCCUGUAAUCAAAUUGGUAUUUAUGUCCUCGUGCAUAUUUCUGAUCUGCAACAAUCGUUUGAGCUUGUAUCCAUGCCUUAUCCGCAAGAAGUUCCCGGCCAAUGGGGGACUUCUGUCGCGCGGUACUCUCGGGUAUGGUGUCAACGACUCGUGCCAGAUGCCCCCUCCUCCUCCUCCUCCCUGUUCUUUCUUUGCUCGGUCUCUAUUUUAUUAGGGAAACGAUGCCCGUUUUGUCGUGUUAUUACGUGAUUCGAUUCGAGAGGGUUCACGCUCCGGUAAUGAGCCAAUCGAGACGGACGAGACGGAAAUGUUAAUGAAUUUCACGAUCAACAAGAUAAUUACAUCAAUCACCCGGGGGGGGGGGGGGGGGGGGGGGGGGGGGUGACGAGGGACGAGAUUCUCCCUUCCGGUACCUUAUGCUUUUGGUCGUACUUAAACAGUAGAUUCUCCCUUCGGUAUCUUAUGCUUUUGGUCGUAUUUAAAAAGAUUACUAUUAUAAAAAGCCUCAAACUGAUAUAUAGAUAAUAAACUUACUAUAAAUUAAUUUGUGAUUAUCCCAAACUAGUACACCUUUGAUAAAUUUACAUUGAAUUUGUACAUUUGUGACAAAUUUACUCUUUGUUAGUUUCCGUUAAAUUUUACUGUCAAAUUAUUAAGUUAAAUUAUAUGUAACAAUUAAUUUGAGAUUUUAUAUUUUGUUUGUCACUGUUAUAAUUUUUUGUGAUAUUAAUUCAAUUUAACGGUUAAUAUAUUUAUCACAAAUAUACAAAUUUGAGGUUUUUUGUGAUCGUAUAAAUUAGUUUAUGGUAAAUUUGUCACAAAUGUAUUAAUUUGUUUUUCAUGGCGAUCGUAUACUUGUUUAAGGUUUUUCAUGAUAUUAACCUCACUUAAAAUGACCAUGUUCAGUCGUUAUUGGCCGCACCUAACUCCAUGCGUUUUUAAAAUUUCCAAACCCAUAUUUCAUUGUAAUUGAUACUUGCACAACUCCGUCGCUUAUUUUGACUUGAAAUACAUGACAAUCCCGGAGAUUUUGUCUUUUCGCGAGCUUAAAUCGUGCCCACCAGAAAAGAAUUUAAAAAAAAAAAGACUAAAUAGAUUUUGGCCAGAGUAGUUGAUGGCAAUUUCGUACAUAUUGGUUUUAAAGAAAAACAACCCCGAAAAGUUAGCAGAUGCCUCCGUUUCUUUUCCCCGCCACGUCUGAUAGUGCGGAGUGCAAUCAUGUCGAGCGAAAACUCUAGGAGCUCACUUUAUGUCACUUUAGGAUUCAAUAGAAUAGACGGUGAGCACACGUUUUCCUAUAUAAUAUUCGUUUUAGCUUAUAUCACUCUCCUUAUUGACAAGGGCAUUGUAGGAUUACUUUGUUCCGAACGUAUACGGGUCUUCAAAUCGAAAUCAGAUUUUGGUCAACGCUAGAACAUUGCCCGCUUGUUGCAGUAGUUAGCAAAACUACAUAUUAUUGAUGAAAAUAUAAUAUUAUCAUUGUUAUCCAUAGAAGAAAAAAAAAAGCAUAGUGUUGAAAUAUACGUAUUUAUAUUUAAUUCGUGAAGUUGCUUAGUGAUUAAGAGAUAAACUUUACUUUGGUUAGCAACAAAGAUUCAACAUCUCAUACCAUCAAGUACAAAUGAUCUUAUAUUUAGGUCAACAAUAGACCUAUCAAAUAGUUGAAUCGAAAAUGAUCCAACUCAAUUUGACUUAUUUCCAUACAGUACAAAUUUAAUGACUCAUAUCCAAUCUAACACAUAUCCAACUCAUACAUAACUCAACUCAUAUUGCUAGAAAACUUCCGUAUUUAAUACGAUCUAAUAAAAUUUAUAUAUAAACUAAGGUAAAUGCAUAGAGUGAGUGAGCACAAAGUGAGGGCGAGAGAGUGAAAAGAGGGUUAUAAAGAUGGGUUGGAUCUAAACAAGUUAUAGACCUAUUUAACACUCAUUAUUUUAAACUUUACAAUUCUAAACCUCCUAUAUAACCCAUUUAGUAAAUAAAGUUAAUCUAGCCCAUCAAAUAUGGUUUAAUAAAUGAGUCCAUAACUUGUUUUGAUAGGUCUAGUCAACAACCAAGUAUAAAUUUAUGUUACUCCCCACGCACUCCUCUGUAGUUGUUUUGAAUAAUUUGUUUUCAAGGUUUUUGAGUAUUGUUACAUUGUUUCGCCUUCAAAUUAAGUUUUACCUUGAAAUGGGAGCAUCUAUAGGCUAUAGCGAUGGGGAUAUUUUAUGGGAAGAGUGGGUUCUGUGAUUACAGUUAUGACUCAAUCAAAUUUAAUAAAAUAUUAUUAAAAAAUUAUCAUGUCCACGUUGGUUGACACUAACAUGGAUACUGACCAACGUUGAUAUAAUAUUUUUUUAAUAAUAUAUAUAUUUUUUCUUUUUCUUGCGAGGUAGCGGCGAGCGGCUGGCGAUAGGCAUUCGACAUCCCACGGGUGGCUGGCGGGUGGGGAGGUGAGCGGCGAGUAGUGGCGAUAGUGAACUAUAAGAAGAGUUUUCAUUUCUCACAUUUGUUCCAGAAAUAGAAAAGCCAAAAACCUUUAACUUCUGAUUUCUACUCCAAAUCUAUUUUUGGAAUAGAAAUCCGUUCCAGAAAUAAAAAAAAUAUGAAAUUGCGUUACCAUAUAAAUUUCCGUUCUAAAUUUGUUCUGGAGAAUAGAAAAAUCAAAUAUAAAAAAAUAGAAAUUUUGUUAUGCGCAGCCUUGAUUUCUUUGCAAUUAAGGGGCAUGUUAGCACUUGCCAAGCAAAAAAUUAUAGAUCCGUCGUUAGCCACCAAUCCGAGCUCUGGCUUGCUCAUGAAAUUAGUAUGAUAUUACAUAUAUUGGGGUUUACCUUUUUUAGUCUAACUUCUUAUCAUAAAAUAAAAAAUCUAUAUAUUUAUUUCGUUAUGGACUUAGGACUUUUUCAUUAAGAUAUAUGAUUUUUUAAAUAGCAACGUGCGGAAUCAAUUGUUAGGUGAAUGUAUGUGUACUAAAACGUUUUUGGACUAUUAAAAAUGGUUGGCUCAUAAGACAAUAUGAAUUCUAACUUAUCUGAUGGACCGCAUUGAUUUUAAUUUAUAUUAUCCGGUCACCUAACGGCUCUUUGUAUACAAUACACCGCAUAACUUAUGUUAAGAUAUAAUAUGGCUAAUUCAAUAAAAUUCAUUUGACGAGAUGAUGAGUUUAGAUGCGUACGGUUUUGACUAGGACAGUCUAAAUAUACAAAUUCUCUUCGUUCAAACUUUAAUAUGUUCGGUUGACCUAAUGGGAAAAAAGAGAGAAGAAUAACUUAGUUAGUCCUUCCUUAUAAAUAAAACGCCCAUCAAAUUUAAAUUCGAGAGCAUGCUAAUCAAAAUGGGUAGUCUUGGACAAAUUUUUAGAGAAAAUGUCUUGUAUUAUCUUUAGAUAUUUUGACAAUUUAUGCGGCUCGAUGAUGUAAAUUGUAAGUUUCUACGCACCAUAGGAUUUUUUUUUUUUUGGUGCAUGUAAUCAUUACUAGAAUGUUAAGAAUUACGGACAUAAUACCAUAAACUUAUUUUAUCGAAGCUAAAAGAAAAUUUUCUGAUGCUCAUCAAUUAUAAACAUUAUAAACACAUCUUAUUACUUGUUUUGAAUAAUGAAAAAUUCCAAAUAAGGAUCCGAAGUGGACCAAUUUUCUUAAAUAAGGACCCGGAAUUAACUUUGUAUCAAAUAAAAACCUAAAGUGGACCCAUUGUCUCAAUUAAUAACUCGAAGUGGUUGAAUCAAUUCCAAAUAAGAACCUGAGCUUGCUGGUUAGCCAAAUAUUCGCCGGCUAUCAAGCAUGUAACAUUUCCGACGACUAGAGUUUGGGCAAGUUUUUCCAAAAAAAAUAUAAGGAAAAUUAACAAAUCUUAAAACAGAAAAAAAAACCCUAGGUUUUCUACGGUUUCCCGUUCCUUGUACCCAUCCCCUGCAAAGUCAAAGACUGAAGUUCUCCUCAUUCCUUGUACCCAUCCUCCGCAAAUUCGAAAACCCAAAUUCUUCACUGGUUGAUGCACGAAUUAAAAAACAAGAAGAAAACCAUAUGCUUCUUUCUUUAUUUGCGGGGAUCCAAAUUCUCCGCCAGUCGAGCAAGGUGAGGAGCGAUGAGAAUCGAGUCACGACGACAACUGAGCAGUGAUUUGGUUGAGGAACAACGAGGGAGAAGAAAGAAGAAAACAUAAACAUCGAAAUGAAUAACCUAAACUUAAUUAAUUUAGAAUUUUUCAUUUUUUUCCAGUCACAAAUUUCUGAUAAAAUUGCUCAUAUUUUGAUCGAUGGAAAAUGUCUGCCGGCAAGCUAAGAUUCUUAAUAGAGAUUAAUUUGAUCACUUCGGGUCCUUAUUUGACACAAAAUUCACUUCAGGUCAUUCUUUGAAACAAUGGGUCCACUUUGAGUCCUUAUUUAACACAAAAUUCACUUUUGAUUUUUAUUUGAGAAAAUAGAUUCACUUCGGGUUCUUAUUUGAAAUUUUGCCUUUGUUUUUAGAGGAAAGGGAAAACAGAGAAAAAAAAUUGAGAAAAAAAUGAUAAAGAGAGGACAACAAAGGCAGAGGGAGAGCGGCACAAAGUCAAGCUGGUGGGCUCAAUCCCUCCCUCACCCGUUCUGCACUCUCGCUAGUCGCUAUUCUCUCCAGGGACUCUUGGAAAGAAAAAACCGUCCUUUCAUCCUUUUUCUAUGGAUAGCAAAGAAAGGGUGGAAAAUUGUGGUCAUCUGGGCAUGGAAAUCUCACCAGCGGAGUUAAUGAGAUAUAAAAUAAGCGCUAAUAUAUUCAUCCUACUAGUGACACACACACCCCCGCGCGCGCAUAUAUACAUAUUAAACUCCAUUGUUGGGUCAAAUCAUAUAAAUAAAAUAUGUUUAUUUCUGUUUUAAUUUCAACCGGAGCACGUCCUUUUUGGUUAAUAAACCAAAUUACCUGCUAAUCAUCAAUUGAGUCUAUGCAUGAAUCGGUAUUUAAAGUGACUUUUGCUAGUGCAAAUCGAUAAUGAUUAAUUGUCACUUUCCUUUUGGCUAAAGAACAAAUUGUCACUUUCCUAUUUUGCUUGUGAAAAGAUUUUCCUUCCAUAUUCUUUGAAUCUAGAAAGAAGGAGACUUUAUUUAUUCUAUAUGCAAAGGAGGAAAAACUCAUUGGAAAAGGGAUGCCUAGAGACAAACCAAAUCCAGAAUUAAGGGAAAUGACUUAGGGGAAACGAUCUGUUCAAAGAUGAAUGAUCACAUCAUCGAAAGCAAAGUGAAGAUUUCUUUUCCUUCUCAUUUCAUUAUGACUUAGGGGAAACAACCCGUUCAAAGUUAAAUGAUCACGUCGUUGAAAGCAAAGUGAAGAUUUCUUUUCCUUCUUAUUUCAUUAUCCUAGGUUGACUUUCGGUUGAAUUCGCGUGCAGAAAAGGUAGAGCAAAAUAGAGGAGUGCCAAUAAGAGAUGAUAAGAAAAAGCAUAGAGGCAUACAGCCGAUCCAAAUAUUGUGGGUCGGGUCGGCCCGUCAUGGGACCAAUUGGGUUGAGCUAGGCCUUAUAACCCAAAAGUGCCCCUCAAGCCAAUGAAGUUUGAGGCAGUUCGGGAGGGCUUAGGCCGCAAGGCCCAUCGGAUAUGAGGGAGUGAGGUGAUCCAAUCCCGAUCCCGAGAGGAUCCCAAUAAACAAGAAAAUCAUUAUCAGGAGUCGAUUUUCCGUGGCAUGUUGUGUGCAAUGAAAGAAAUAACAAAAUGUAUAAGAGAGAACAAUACUCGAUUCAUUUAGUAAUUAUAAUUUGUCCAAUCAACUUUAAAAUGAUGUGACUUAGUCAAUUAGGAUUUUGAAAAAGCCCUACCUGUGUAAAUAUUUAUUACCCCGAUGCCGCUCAUUAGGGAAAAAUUUACAUUUCUACUGUACAUAGUUCUAUACACUUUCGAGUCCUAACAAGAAGCAAUUAGUAUAAUUUCAUGUUCCAAUUUUAUCUAUGGUGAAAGGGCUUCGCUUAUCGUGUUUUGAGUUCAAUGGAAUCUGAAGAGUUUUUGUUGAAUUCAGAUGUUGGUUUAGUUUUAUGGAACGAAAAUGAUGCAAAUUACACAAAUGGACAUUUCUCAAUUUAUCUACGUAUUUAUUAAGUGUUUUUGUCAUUACAAGAACUCGUUUAAGGGUUUUUAUUUUUAUUUUUUAUAAACCUGAUUUAAUUGAUUUAAAUAUCUUAACUUUUAUUUUCUUAGCACUUUCACAUCACUAAUGAAAUAUGCAAUCAACCUUUUAUGUGUCCAAAAUCAUGUUUCUAGCUUCUAUUUUGGGAUUCAACGGUGUAGUUCGAUCUCAUCAAACUAAACAAGGGCGUUUUAUUCUAAUCAAAUUGUAUCGUAGCCAGAAAAUCAAUUUUACGUGAAAUUCAUACAUUUUUUAUGACCUUUUUUGGUUGAAUUUUAUGACUUGAUUGUACACAUUGUGAUGAAGAAUUAUUAAUUAGAAUGUUUUGGGGGAUGAAGAAUAUAUGUGAACUGCAGAGGGAAAAACUUGUGUAAUGUUUUUCAUUUUUCUUCUAAGACGUUUCAAAAGGAUGUCAGUUUUAUUUAAUUUUUUUGGUCGAAUAUUAUUUAUUUAACAUUUUUGUUAAAAAAGGGAGAGUAAAAUUAAACACGAAUACCUUGCUUUUGCCGUGGUAUAUAUAUAACCUUCGGAAAAGGGUCAGGUUAUCGGUGGCUUCCUCGUUCGUUCGCUCGCUCAACUCGUUGACUUUGGAAAUUCCACUUCCUCCCUCGUCCUCCUCGUCAUCUUCCCAUGGCGUCUGCCUCGAUCGGCCGUGCCUCCCUCCCUUUGCUGCUGGCGGCGAUCGUCCUCCAGUGGGGUUGGCUCCCUCUCGCCGAUGACGCUAGGCCUUGCAAGACCUUGAUGAUGCUGUCGGCAGAGCUCAACCUAACCUCCUGAGGUGUCGCCAAUAUAGGCCAAGAAAAUCGUUCAUUCUAAUAGUGCACACAUAUUCUAUUCUAGUGGAGUUCUCACCUGUCCUCUGGGAGUUAAUGCCAAAUGAUGUUUAAAAGGCACAUCUCACGAGUGAAUUGUAAUUUUGCAUAUCUAAUUUAGCAACUCUCUCCUUCGGCUUAGUGUGUCAUUCAAUUCAUUCAUGUCCCGUCACUUUAGAAGUCUAUGAAUACUCGUGCCUUGUCGAGGGAGAGACAUGAUUGGCCAGUGAAACACGAUGGUGACGAGUACUCAAAAUCGGGUGGCGUGGUGGAUGGUCGCAUCAAGAGGUAUGAAAGUAUCAAGUUAGUACUUCAAUAGGGGUUUGUGUGAUUUUUUUACAUGAAAAAUAAUAAAUAUAAAUUUCGCUUGUUAAUUUUUACGAUUGAUGGUUUAUUUUAGGGUUGCUAGGCAUAAAUAAUCCAAAUUUUUCGCCGCAUUUAUAAAUUUUUAUGAAGAUAACCAAUAACCCCACAUCGAAUGGAAUGUCAAAGUAACCAUCUACCUAGAUAAACACGACUGAUGAUAGUAAAGAACAAUGACUCAAUAACUAAAGGGAUGUGCCAAAUUACUAUCGAGGCUAAAGUUUAUUGCAUCAUUUAUUUUAUAAGUUAAUUGUGCAAAUGACUUUCUAUACCUUCCCAAGACGCCGACUCAAAACUAACCUUCUCCCGCUGUCGAUGCCGAUCUUGGAUUGUCAACCGUGUGCAUAACUAAAUUAUAUUGAUCCCAUUCGGAAAGGCAUCUUUUGGCUAUGGUCCCAAACAAAAAUAUAGAAUAUUCACCUACACUUUGAUNNNNNNNNNNNNNNNNNNNNNNNNNNNNNNNNNNNNNNNNNNNNNNNNNNNNNNNNNNNNNNNNNNNNNNNNNNNNNNNNNNNNNNNNNNNNNNNNNNNNAGGGGAAGACUUGGGGUGGGUGUGGGGAGAGUUGCUGUCAUUUAGGGAGGGGGAGGGGGAGAGAGAGAGAGAUUAGGGAAGAAAUCUAGGGGAAGAUUUUGGGGUGGCGUGGGGGAUAGGGGGAAAGAGAAACGGGGGAGGGAAAUGAUUUUUUAGGGAUGAGAGUUUAGCAAGAAAAGACUAAAGAAAGGGAAAUAAUUUACCACCCGCCAUGAUGGCACCGAUGGUAGAUCCUAGAGCAUUCCUCCGUGGAGGUCAAGGUUCGAAUCCCCUGCAACGCGAGUUGUAGGGAGGCAGUUGGGUCAUUUGUGCACCUUGCCCGGUGCGUGGGGUGGUGGUUUCCCCACGUUGCCCCCAGGGUUUACUCUCCGGCUGCCGGCCGUGCGGAGGUUCCCUGGGUCACCAAAAAAAAAAAAAAAAGGGAAAUAAUUUUUGGGAGCUUUUUCAGGGGAAUAAUUUUGAGUGGUAAAUUAUUUUUGUUAUAAAAAUAAAUAAAUGAAUUAGAAAGUGAUUUCAAAAAAUAAAAAUAUUGAAUGUUAAAUAAUAAUAAAUUUUGAUGAUUAUAGAAUAUCAUAAAUUUAUUUAAAUAAAGUUGAUUUUAUUUUUUUGUUAGUCAUUAGUUUCAUUCAUAAUUUUUGUUAAAGUUAAAAACAUGUUUCCAAAUAUGGGUACGCAUUAAUUAUGAGUAUAUCUUUUAAAUUUUCUAUGAGUAUAUUUAUUAAUAUUAUUAGUGUAAAUUCAUUGUAAACUCUAUUUAUUUAUUUAUGAAUCUAAAUCAAAUUAAUUAUUAUUUAUUUAAUAAUAACGUGUCAUAACGUGUCGGAAUUCUCUAUUUUUGAUAAAUGACGUGUCGGCGUGUCGUGUCGUAUCGUGUCACGUGUCCGUGUCGCGUGUCCAUGCUACUUAGAUCCCAAGUUUGUCACCGUCCUAAUUCUUUUUAUCGUGUUAUCAUGCACAUGCGGAAACGUGAAUAAACAACUUCCUAGACAAACAACAACUGGAAGACCCCAACCUAUAUCAAGCAUAACAUGCUAAUUUAUAUUUAAAAAAUACUUUUACAAGCUCCUUUCUCUACGGGCUCUCUUUUCUUUUUACAUCACAGUACAACUUUUCAUAUAAGCCAAGGGAAAUUAUAUCUCUUUUAGCGUGACUACAAUUCCCAAAACUAACAUAAGACUUCCAUGUCUACAAGAUUGAAAGAUGAGAGGUGAGUUUUGGAGAAACUCAGUAAGUAAAAUUCCUAAUUUUCUACUAGGAAAGCAUUUCAUCAUCGUCAGAGCCUAGCAAAUAAAACACUCGCAAAACAGUGUCAAUGUUGAAUCAAUUAAGCUAUUUCACCAACAAGCUUAUCAACAUCACAUAGUAACAUAUUCAAUAAGUUCAUUAGCCGUAUAAACGGUUCUUUCCAUACUUUUAGGGGCUUCCAACCGCGAGCUGGGCAUCCGGCCUCAAGCUAGGCAUCUCAUACUCUCAAGGGCUUCCCAUACUUUCAGGGGCUUCUUGGCUCAACUAGGGCAUCCGACCAUCAAGCCAGGCAUCCCAUGCUUUCAAGGAUUCUUGGUUUAACUAGAGCAUCUACCCAUCAAGCCAGGCAUCCCAUACUUUCAGGAGCUUCCUAGCUCAACCAAGGCAUCAUGUUCAAUGAACGAGGCAUCGCCACCAACAUUAUGUGAUGACGGAUGCUUUUUCAUCUUUAAGUGCACACACAUAAAUGCAUCACAUAAGUCGGUUCUUAUCUUUUUUCUUAGUCAACACAUGCAUGGCCCGAAGGCGUGCUCAUUCAUUCAUGUGUGUUAUGAGUUUCUUUUACCUCACUAGCAAAUAUGUCGAGAUUGAUCUUUGAUCCGUAACUUAAAUCAAUCACUUAGCGUCUAUCCCUGCACUGGACAAGGCUUGGAAAUGGUACGCCUCAAUAUCAAUCUAAGACCUCGAGGUUUGGGUACACCUCGCUUAGGUGAAGUACCUAAGCUUGACGGACCUUGGCUCCAACCUGAUGUGAAUACACAUGUAUCGAGAAUGACCCUUGGCUCGCAGUUUGAUUCAACGCCGAGCACAAAGUCCCCACGUCCACUUGAACUAUAUAAAUUUGUAUGUUUGGUACCUUACCAAGACCUCGUGAAUUUAGGCGAUCCCCGUACCGAUCAAGACAUAAGAUUGACAUGCCUCAAUGUCGACAUAGGACUUUGCAGCCUUAACCGGUCCCCGCACUAAGCAAGAUUUGGACCCGGCAUCUUAUUUAUGCUGAAACCAAGGCCUUAUGGCUUAGAAUGACCUUGCCUUGCGAUAAACUCAAUCCAAAUGAACCUCGGCCUCAUUUUGGGUGUAAACAACUCGAGCACAUGUUCAAGCACAAACAUAAGCAAAACCUUACAAAAGAUCCAACAUCCUACCCACGACUUGAUCGGUGAGCACCUAACUAGACUCGACAACGGAGUCUACUGCCUUAGAGGAUACAUAGGGAUCUUAUUUACUUUGGCAACCUUAAAGACCAACUUAGAUUAGCUUGAGAGAUCGAGGAUGCAAGGCCGAGAGAAAGGAGAAGGAGGGGGAGCAUCCAAGGAGAAGGAGGAAGGAGGAAAUGAGAGGUAAGGUGAAGAAAUGAAGAGGGCUUCUCUUAUUUAUAGCCCCCUAUGCCAUCAUUACUAAGUCAAGCGGUCCAAUCUUAAGUUUCUAAGGCCAUGCAUGGUAAUGUUCUUUUUUCUUGUUUAUCAACAAAAAUUUUGUUUUUUUGUUCUCGGGAACAAAAAAAAAACAGAAACGCGUUUGUUUGCGUUUUUGUUCAAAAACUGUUUUUUUGUUCCCGGAACAAAAUUGGAACGAAAACAAAAUAAAAAAACAAAAAAGUUAUUUUUUUGUUCCAGAAACACUUCUUGAAGGGCUGAAAAGAACAAAAACGAAAUACUUCCGUUCGUCCGUCCCCUGCGCAGCGACACUCCCCAUUUUCCGUCCGUGCCCUGUGCAGCGACGCUCUCCCUUUUCCGGCGUCUCUCACAAGUUCACCACCGUUGAGCGAUUCGGCGCCUCCCACUCAGUUGACUCUCCGGCGCCGACAACUGCUGCUCCUUCACCGGCUGAAGCUUCUGGUUCGAGGUAAGUUUCUGCGCUCACCAGCUGCUGCUCUUCCUUCACCGUUUGACGAGGGCUUCAGCGAGAGCCACCCCUCACAGAUCUGGGCGACGGCUGCUUGGGGCUCGAGUGCGAUAGCUCGCUUGAGCCAGCGCUUGCCCACAUCUGCGAGAUGCUCACUCGAGCGAGCCCUUGUGCUCAAGCCCCGAGUGAGCGUUGCUCGGACAGAUCUGCGACAGAUCUGGGCGACGGCUGCUCGCUCGGCAGAGCAGCGACGCUCGCUCGAGCUACUCUGUGGCUUUCAAAAUAUAGAUGAGGACAUGGAUUAUUCUUCCAUUGCUACACACCAAACUUUUUUCAAUUCCGUGUUCAAUUUUCAUUCUCUUUCUUUCUUUGUGUGGGAAAGGUGGAUUUUCUGCUGUUCGUUGCUCAUAUUUUCUACCACGUUGGCCUAUCCACGAGUGUCAAGAAUUUCUAACCCCCUGAUUACCUAGCAAAAUAAAAAAGGCUGUUCUUCAAAUUUCUUCUAUAGCUUCCUAUUAUUAGUCUUAAAGAUGGACGAAGAAAGGUCAUCGUUCUCUUAUGCGAUACUUGUGAAAUUGAAGCAAGCAAAAUUUUGGAGAGUUGUGAGGAUUGAUGUUUAGUAUUAAAUGACAUAGCUUGUGGAUACUGUCUUAAUGUGAGUUACAGACCAGCUCUUUCCUCCACUCGCAGUGCAGGCUUCUCAUUUCUUUUUUGCAUUGAAUAUUUUUUCCUUGUCAUGGAAGAAAUUUUCUUUGUUCUGAUUAUGUGACAUUUUGUCUAGGGAAACUAUUUUCUAGUGUGGCUAGACGGGACCAUGAGGGGCGUCGUCUUUUUCCACAUAGCCUGACCUUUUCGUCCUGAUUUAGUAGGGAGGCUUCUGUUGAUUGAUCUUGGAACCUGUCAAGAGUAACAGUGUUUUCACUCUACCCAGUAGAUGAAUGGCUCACCAUGAGUUGCUUCUUUUUUACGAGCCUCUAAUUUUUCCUUUAGGAGAAUCAUUUAUAGUUUUUAUCUUUAGCGGGCUAUAGAUGACUUUUUAUGUACUUUCAAAUCUACUAGCAAUUAAGAGGAAGGUUAUGAUGUGUGCCUUAUAUGGGGGAACAUGCAUUGGAUUAUGAUGUGAUAGACAAAUUGUUGUAAUCAUGGAUGAAAUUGCAUUGCCUUUCUCCAGUCUAUUUGUACUAAUGUUCUAAGAGCUUGGAGUUAGUUUUGCUACAUAGUGAAGAGUCGGGUUCACCACUUCGUCUUCUGUUUGUCUCCCCCUUGAUAUAUCAAAAGCAUGUAGAAUUUCUGCUGGUGCAUAUAGGAAAGAGGACAUAGAGUUUUCUAUUUGCUAUAACCUUGGCUGCUUAGUGCUUGGAUGUUCUGCAAAUUACACAUCUGAAAAGAGCAUCUAAUGGCAGGUGGUAUCUGAUGAUUGGCACGUAAUCUGUUGGAGCAUGUGCAUUUGCAUGUCGAGGGAAGCAAGAUUGAUCUAUUCAGUAUGAACUGGUUAUGGGGGAUGCCGCCAGUUCUGGAUUCUUAUGCAAGUUGAUGAGUGUUGUCUGAUGCGGCAUAGAUUUAGUUCAUUUAUUGGUCUUGUGAAGUGGAUUAAUCUGUAAAGGAGCACAUUAGAUGAAAUCAAUACUUGACAAUGGAGCUGAAAGUGUUAAAGGCUAAUAGUGCACGUCUGUCUGUCAUAUCUUAUGCUAUAAGAAGUUGGAAAAAGGGUAAAGAUGGCUAUGUAUGAUGCUGAAGAAUUACAAGUUACUAGAAUGAUUUGUAGAUAAUUAGAUAAGGCUAAAAUUCAAUAAGCAGUGCAGAACCUUACGUAUAGUUUUGAUGAUACAUCAAAACCAGGCCAAAGUGGCGAGUCAAUUGUCUUUUGGUGCUUGCCAUGCACAAAUACUGAAACGGCCCAUGCCUGCAUAGGGAGUUCACUCAUUCCAGUUAUGCUUAUGGAUUAUGGCAUCUUCUUUCUCAUAUCAAUUUUCUAUUCAUUAUUCCGGCCUUUAAAUCCUUUUUUUUUUCGGGGGUGAGUCUAGGUAGAUCGAGGUGUUACUCUGAGUGAGGCUCUUUGUCAUGACAAAUGGCUUGAAAAUAAGGGCAUAAAGAACACAAAUUUCGCUGUUGUUACCUGGUCCAACUGGGAUUGCCGGGUGAUGUUGGAAUCCGAGUGUUGAUAUAAGAAAAUUCGAAAACCUUCUUACUUCAACAGGUGAGUUGAUGAUAUGUAACUAGCAUGUAGACUUAGAUUCUUUGAUGCUUAAUUCUGACAUUUUCUCUCUCUUCCUUUCACUAGAUGGAUUAACCUAAAAGUCUCAUUCCAGGAAGUUUUCGGAGGUCUAAGAUGUAAUCUUAAGGAGGCGGUUGAGAUGGCUGGCUUGACCUGGAUCAGGCGUGCUCAUUGUGGUUUAGAUGAUGCAAAAAACACAGCUCGCUUGCUUAUGGUUCUUUUGUGCAGGGGAAUCAGAUUUUCCAUCACCAACUCUCUAACAUUGUAUGACAAUGACCAUACUCUAAUAUCAAAGCACUCGCCUCCCCAUCAGCCGCACACGCAGAAGGAUUUGCGGGGUCCUCAAUCACAGUAUAAUCCUUAUUGUUUCUAUGGCAUCAAGAGUAGCGUAGGCUUUGUUCGGAACCCAAGUAUAAAGCAAGGGAACUUCUUCUUUUGGUGUGGCAAUUGGGCUGCUGCGAGAGGUUGCGGAUGCUGUUAUUUUCAGUGGGUGGCUUCUUGACUGGAUGUAACUUUCCUGGUUGACAUCUUCGGCUUUCUUAGGUGCUCCCUAUCACAUUAGGUAGGAGCCGCAUCGGGAGCUUCCAUUUAAAUUAGUUGAAUGACUUUAUGAUAGUUUUUUUUUUUUAACUUGAUUGAAAGAAAAACAAAUUGAGUCGGCAUACUACAGUUGAAAGAUUGCGAUACUGAUACAUAAGAAAACUGUCAUCUAUUGUUGAAGAACUCUUCUCUAUAAAGCUGACAUCUUGUUGACUUGUGAAAUUCAUUAAGGAGUUGGUACAACUGAUAUGAUUUUUUGGUAACUAGCAUGAUGAAGAAUGGAAAUCUAUUGCUACCGGUCCUCUUGGCUCCUGUUACGUUGCUUGGUAGGCAUCUAUAGCUAAGUAUGUCGGUCAGGGCUACGCUGAUGCUAGCUAUGCAUAAGCUAAAACGCGAGGUGAACCAGUUAACUUUCUUUUACGGAGGCUUUUUAAAUCAAGAUCUGUCAUAUACAUCUUCACUUUGAAUGUGCCAAUCACAAUCGCAACCUCAUGAAGGCCUCCAUAAUAACCGACGCAUCAAUAACAACAGAUCACAUCAAAUCUGAAGACACCAAGCUUUCGCACCAUUAAGUUAACCAAAUUAAAUCUCAAUAGGUGUUUGUAACUUUAACCAAAUUAAAUUAAUGAGCAUUUCAUGAGAAUGAGAAUUCAAUAUCAAGUUUAAACUUUAUUAAAAAAAGAGAGCAUUUUUUGAAAAAUUUGGAACAUAAAUUUUGUACAGUUACCAAACGUGUUUAUGUUCUUUUUCUAUUCUAGGAACAGAAAUUGAGUGCAGUUACCAAACGUGUUUCUGUUCUUUUAUUUAUUUAUUUCAAGAACAUAAAUUUUUUACACUUACCAAACGCGUUCUUUUAUUCAAACACUAUUCCCCGGAACAGAAAUAGUUUUUUUUAUUAUUAUUUCUGUUUCCUGGAACAAUUUUUGAACAAAAACGUUACCAAACGCGCCCUAAGUGUCCUGCAAGCCUAUUUUAAAAGAUAGCACACCUAAUAGCCUAAUGUAAUGAUUGGAAGCUUAUUUGUUUCAUUCUUAUUGGACUAUUUAUACAACGCUAUCACGACUUGGUCUACUUGUUCUCUAAGGAAAAUCUUAUGAUAAUAAUGACCAAAUCUUUUAUAGACACCCAAGCCAAUGAGUCACCAACUUCUUCUCCAAGGCAAAUCUCAAGCCAUCAUUACCAAAUUUUCGGAUGGAUACCUAGGCAUGAUGACUUAUCAUUGCAUUUAAUGAGGCGUUAUAGAAUCUCAGAUAUGUCUUCUCUUGAUUGGUUCAUUUGUUCAAGAAUCCCUUAUCUAAUUCCUAAGGCGAAUAUUUGGUAAUCAUUGCCAAAUCCAAAAAUAUCUAUCCAAAGUGGUGAGUCAUCCUUCUCAUUAAAUUAGGGAGUUCUAGAAUUUUCUUUUAUUUUGUCAUUUUCUUCAUCAAGAAUGCGAUUUAGAGAAUUCUAACGUCCUAGUUAGUUCCGGGGUCAGAAAAUGGAUCAUUAGGUACAUCGUGAAAAAUUGAAUCACGUACACCCGAGGUUUGGCCAUCACAGCCCAUAUUUGCCCCAAUCGUUCUUUGGACGGUCGGUCGGCCAAUAGGGUCAAUUGUCUUAUGAUCGGUUCGAGACCAAUCAUAAGGUUACCCAUGGCUUAACACUAAGCCAAACUCAUAGACGUUAGAAUUAGUGAUGAAAUAACCGAAUCUAUUCCUGGGCUCAUUUCGAUCGGCACCCGAUCCAUCGGUAGGGUUCAUGGUCGGUGCAUUACCAAUCUAUGAUCGGACAUCACCAAUUCAAGAUUUUGUUCUGAUUACUAAGAAUUAAAUAGGGAAUGAUGCAUUUUUGGUCAUAAGACGGUCACAUUUGAUCAAUUCGAAUAAUCCAUAUAUCGAUAUAUAACUGGACGGAAUCAACCGCGACCUUGAAUUGAUCCAUAACAAUUCACCACUCCAAAAUCAUUCCACGGCCAAUUCUCAUGAUAAAAAAAUCAUCUUAUGAGCUAGUGAUCAUAUCCCAUCAAUAUGGUCGGUAGAAAAUCACGACUAACACCUCAAAUAAUUCGUGACCAGUUAGUUGGUCGGUCGGUCGGUCGGUCCAUGACUGAUCCACAAUUCCUUGCUGAUCGAACCGAUCGAUCCAUGGCCAAUGGCCCAUGAUCGAUCUUUUUAGGACCUUAUGAAUGAUCCUUACGGGGUUGGAAUGAAAAUAUUAUAGUAAAGCCCCAAAAUUACACCGUUACUCUCUUAUUAGAUCAAAUCCAAUCCCAUAAAAACAAAAAAAGUAAAUUUAUUCGUGGCCAAUCUAAUACAUAAUUAUCAUUCGCAUUGUUGAGUUGGAUAACCCAAUUUGCUUGCUAAUCUGCAUUGCAUUUUCUUCCUUAAAAUAUACUUGAGCAUACUUCCAAUUUGAGAAAUGAGUUUGUCACCAAAAUGAAGUGACAAAGUUGAUUUCUGAAGUAGAGAGAUGAUUACUUGCGAUUUUGCAUUCACAAUAAGUCUAGUAAUUCCCAAAAAGAUAAUGCCUUUUCUAUUUUGAGUGAAUAACACACUCCUACUAUUGCAUGAAUCCAGCAAGCCAAUUGGCUAUGUCACCACAAAUAAGUCAACCUACUGAAGCUAGGCCUAAGUUGCCUUAAGAGAAUCUGUCGGAAUUGAGUUUAACCCAACCAAAGAGAGGGGGUUCAACCCACAAACUUAUUUCUUCUCUCCCUUUCGGCAGAUAAUCUACUUUCUACUAAAUGAGCAAACAUCAUAUGGUCGACAUAUCGCAAGAUCAGAUUCACAGGCGUAGCUAGAAAGAAGAAGUCUCUCUAAAAUAAUCUUUAAUUCCUCCAAUUCCACAAAUGCUAGCAAGCUUUGCCAAGUAUUAGUGGUAAGUCAUAUUAUUAUUUUUUUAGUGAUAAGUGCACUAAAAGUCCUAGAAGUUGUUGUCAAAAUACAAUCGAAUCUUAAAAUUUUCAACAAAUGUAAUCAAGUCGUAAAAUUGGUCAUAAAAGUACAACUAUAUCAUAGGAAACACCAAUACUCUUCGGAAAUAUUCAUGUUGUAUUAGACGCUCAAGUCCAAAAUUCCGACAAACGAUUUCGAUACGCAUGAUGUCAAUUUUAAAAAACUUCAAUAAAUAAGGGACAAAAUGUAAAAAUAUAAAAAAUAAAAUAAUAAAGGGGAAAAGAAAGACUCCUUGUUAUUUAUAUUUGAUGUUGAAAUGUGGAUUUUUUUUCUGACUUGUUGUGAAAUGUUUAAUUUAAUAAUAGAAUGUAGAUUUUUUUUCUUUUCCUCCAAGUUUUAUGAAUUAUUAGAGUAGAAUGUAAUUGAAUCUGUCAAAUAGAAAUAAUAAAUGAUAUCAACAAAUGGUGAAUUGACAUUUUUAGUGUAGAUUCAUUAUAUGCUCUUUAUUAUUAUUUUUUUGUGAAUUUGAAUUAAAUUAAUUUGAUUGAAAUAAUUACAAAAAUAAUAAUUUAUUACGUAUAUCAAAAUUCUUUAUUUUUUAAGAAAUGACCAGUUAGUGCGUCUUGUUAUGUGUUAAUGUCAUGUUACUCAAAUUGUGUCUUAAAACUUUCAAAAAUUAAUGAAAUGACUUGAUUGGAUAUUUUAACAAGUAUUGUAUUUUAAUUGUAUUUUUUAAAUGUUUUGAGAUUCAUUAUACUUUGGUGAUAAAUUUUAGGAUUUAAUUAUAUUUUUGAAAAUUUUUAAAAUGCAAUUAUAUUUUAUGAUUUCCAACACCUUUAUCUUUUUUUUUUAUUAUCUUUUUUUAAUGUUUUCCGAUUACUGCCAAACUGCAUCCGCCUUUCUUAUCACCGCCAAAACAGGGCACAGGUCUAUCUAAUAUAGAUAGAGAGUAUAGAAUAGAGCGGGUCCAUCCGUCUUCGUACGACCUUGCCCUCACGCGCAUAUCAACGAAGGAGACAGUGAUUAUGUCGACUGUAGAGAGAGUGUGUCGCCAUGGACGAGCUGAAGCCCAGCCCUCCGAACUCUUCGCCCUUGACCCCGCUCGGCUUCCUCGAAAGAGCCGCCACCGUCUACGGCGACUGUCCCUCCGUCAUCUACAACGACACCACCUACACAUGGUCGCAGACCCACAGCCGGUGCCUCCGGGUGGCCUCGUCGCUCGCUUCCCGCGGCAUCGGCCGGGGCCACGUGGUCUCCGUCGUUGCCCCUAACGUGCCCGCCAUGUACG